rnacentral:rRNA from 1 species
GAUGAACGCUGGCGGCGUGCUUAACACAUGCAAGUCGAACGAUGAACCUCACUUGUGGGGGGAUUAGUGGCGAACGGGUACGUAACACGUGAGUAACCUGCACUUGACUCUGGGAUAAGCCUGGGAAACCGGGUCUAAUACUGGAUACGACUUUCUGGCGGAUGCCAUGUUGGUGGAAAGCUUUAGUGGUUUUGGAUUGACUCGCGGCCUAUCAGCUUGUUGGUGUGGUAAUGGCCUACCAAGGCGGCGACGGGUAGCCGGCCUGAGUGGGUGACCGGCCACACUGGGAGUGAGACACCGCCCAGGCGCCUGCGGGAGGCAGCAGUGGGGAAUGUUGCACAAUGGGCGCGAGCCUGAUGCAGCGACGGCGCGUGGGGGAUGGAGGCCUUCGGGUUGUAAACCGCUAUCAGUAGGGAAGAAGCCGGCUUUUGGGUUGGUGACGGUACCUGCAGAAGAAGCGCCGGCUAACUACGUG